rnacentral:rRNA from 1 species
GACGUAGGGGGCGAGCGUUAUCCGGAUUCACUGGGCGUAAAGGGCGCGCAGGCGGCUACGUAAGUCCGGCGUGAAAUCCCAUGGCUUAACUGUGGAACUGCGUCGGAUACUGCGUUGGCUUGAGGACGGUAGAGGCUUUUGGAACUAGCGGUGUAGCGGUGAAAUGCGCAGAUAUCGCUAGGAACGCCGGUGGCGAAGGCGGAAAGCUGGGCCGAUCCUGACGCUGAGGCGCGAAAGCUA